CCCCGGAUGGCUCAUACGACAGAGCAUUGGACUUU
rnacentral:sRNA from 1 species